CACAUGCAGUCGAGCGAAGCGAUUUAGCGGAAGUUUUCGGAUGGAAGUUAAAUUGACUGAGCGGCGGACGGGUGAGUAACGCGUGGGUAACCUGCCUCAUACAGGGGGAUAACAGUUAGAAAUGACUGCUAAUACCGCAUAAGCGCACAGCAUCGCAUGAUGCAGUGUGAAAAACUCCGGUGGUAUGAGAUGGACCCGCGUCUGAUUAGCUAGUUGGUGAGGUAAAGGCCCACCAAGGCGACGAUCAGUAGCCGACCUGAGAGGGUGAUCGGCCACAUUGGGACUGAGACACGGCCCAAACUCCUACGGGAGGCAGCAGUGGGGAAUAUUGCACAAUGGGGGAAACCCUGAUGCAGCAACGCCGCGUGAGUGAAGAAGUAUUUCGGUAUGUAAAGCUCUAUCAGCAGGGAAGAAAAUGACGGUACCUGACUAAGAAGCCCCGGCUAACUACGUGCCAGCAGCCGCGGUAAUACGUAGGGGGCAAGCGUUAUCCGGAUUUACUGGGUGUAAAGGGAGCGUAGACGGCGAAGCAAGUCUGAAGUGAAA
rnacentral:rRNA from 1 species